rnacentral:rRNA from 1 species
CGCGGUAAUACGGAGGGUGCGAGCGUUAAUCGGAAUUACUGGGCGUUAAGCGCAUGCAGGCGGCCUGUUAAGUCAGAUGUGAAAGCCCGGGGCUUAACCUCGGAAUUGCAUUUGAAACUGGCAGGCUAGAGUCUUGUAUAGGGGGGUAGAAUUUCAGGUGUAGCGGUGAAAUGCGUAUAGAUCUGAAGGAAUACCAGUGGCGAAGGCGGCCCCCUGGACAAAGACUGACGCUCAGAUGCGAAAGCGUGGGGAGCAAACAGGAUUAGAUACCCUGGUAGUCCACGCCGUAAACGAUGUCUACUUGGAGGUUGUGGCCUUGAGCCGUGGCUUUCGGAGCUAACGCGUUAAGUAGACCGCCUGGGGAGUACGGUCGCAAGAUUAAAACUCAAAUGAAUUGACGGGGGCCCGCACAAGCGGUGGAGCAUGUGGUUUAAUUCGAUGCAACGCGAAGAACCUUACCUACUCUUGACAUCCAGAGAA